GUGGGGAAUAUUGCGCAAUGGGCGAAAGCCUGACGCAGCGACGCCGCGUGAGGGAUGAAGGCCUUCGGGUCGUAAACCUCUUUCAGCAGGGAAGAAGCGAGAGUGACGGUACCUGCAGAAGAAGCACCGGCUAACUACGUGCCAGCAGCCGCGGUAAUACGUAGGGUGCAAGCGUUGUCCGGAAUUAUUGGGCGUAAAGAGCUCGUAGGCGGUCUGUCGCGUCUGCUGUGAAAACCUAGGGCUUAACUCUGGGCGUGCAGUGGGUACGGGCAGGCUAGAGUGCGGUAGGGGAGACUGGAAUUCCUGGUGUAGCGGUGAAAUGCGCAGAUAUCAGGAGGAACACCGGUGGCGAAGGCGGGUCUCUGGGCCGUAACUGACGCUGAGGAGCGAAAGCAUGGGGAGCGAACAGG
rnacentral:rRNA from 1 species